rnacentral:rRNA from 1 species
GAUGAACGCUAGCGGCAGGCCUAACACAUGCAAGUCGAGGGGCAGCACAUAAAGUGGUUUACUACUUUUGGUGGCGACCGGCGGACGGGUUCGUAACGCGUAUGCAACCUUCCCUCAACAGGGGGAUAAUCGGGAGAAAUUCGGUCUAAUACUCCAUAACAUCAGAGCAGGCGUCUGUUUUGGUUAAAAUUUCCGGAGGUUUAGGAUGGGUAUGCGUAGCAUUAGCUAGUUGGUGAGGUAACGGCUCACCAAGGCGACGAUGCUUAGGGGGAAUGAGAGGUUAACCCCCCACACUGGUACUGAGACACGGACCAGACUCCUACGGGAGGCAGCAGUGAGGAAUAUUGGUCAAUGGGCGGAAGCCUGAACCAGCCAUGCCGCGUGCAGGAUGACGGCUCUAUGAGUUGUAAACUGCUUUUGUACGAGGGUAAAGUGGGCUACGUGUAGCCUUUUGAAAGUAUCGUACGAAUAAGGAUCGGCUAACUCCGUGCCAGCCGCCGCAGUAA